rnacentral:rRNA from 1 species
GACGAACGCUGGCGGCGUGCUUAACACACGCAAGUCGAACGGUGAAAGCGGAGCUUGCUCCGCUGGAUCAGUGGCGAACGGGUGAGUAACACGUGGGCAACCUGCCCCUCACUUCGGGAUAACUCCGGGAAACCGGGGCUAAUACCGGAUACGACCUCCUUGGGCAUCCUGGGAGGUGGAAAGUUUUUCGGUGAGGGAUGGGCCCGCGGCCUAUCAGCUUGUUGGGGAGGUAGUGGCUCACCAAGGCGACGACGGGUAGCCGGCCUGAGAGGGCGACCGGCCACACUGGGACUGAGACACGGCCCAGACUCCUACGGGAGGCAGCAGUGGGGAAUAUUGCGCAAUGGGCGAAAGCCUGACGCAGCAACGCCGCGUGCGGGAUGAAGGCCUUCGGGUUGUAAACCGCUUUCAGCAGGGAAGAAGCCGCAAGGUGACGGUACCUGCAGAAGAAGCACCGGCUAACUACGUGCCAGCAGCCGCCGUAACAC